GUGUGUAGUCCUCACACAUGUAGUAAAAAUGAAAUGAUACAGAGAAGAUUAGCACUGCCCCCCUGCACAGAGAUAACAUGUAAAUUCAUGAAAUAGAAAAAGAGAUA